GACGAGGGGUCCUAGCGUUGUUCGGAAUCACUGGGCGUAAAGCGUGCGCAGGCGGUUCGUUGUGUCGGCGGUGAAAGCCCCGGGCUCAACCUGGGAAUGGCCGUUGAAACUGGCGAACUGGAGUGUGGCAGAGGGGGGUGGAAUUCCGCGUGUAGCAGUGAAAUGCGUAGAGAUGCGGAGGAACACCGAUGGCGAAGGCAGCCCCCUGGGCUGACACUGACGCUCAGGCACGAAAGCGUGGGGAGCAAACAGG
rnacentral:rRNA from 1 species